CUUUCCCAAGCGGCUGCCGAAGAUGGCGGAGGUACAGGUCCUGGUGCUUGAUGGUCGAGGCCAUCUCCUGGGCCACCUGGCGGCCAUCGUGGCUAAACAGGUACUGCUGGGCCGGAAGGUGGUGGUUGUAUGCUGUGAAGGCAUCAACAUUUCUGGCAAUUUCUACAGAAACAAGUUGAAGUACCUGGCUUUCCUCCGCAAGCGGAUGAACAGCAACCCUUCCCGAGGCCCCUACCCCCUCCAGGCCCCCAGCCGCAUCUUCUGGCAGACCAUGCGAGGUAUGCCGCCCCACAAGACCAAGCCAGGCCAGGCCGCUCUGGACUGCCUCAAGGUGUUUGACGGCAUCCCACCGCCCUACGACAAGAAAAAGCGGAUGGUGGUUCCUGCUGCCCUCAAGGUUGUGCGUCUGAAGCCUGCAAGAAAGUUUGCCUAUCUGGGGCGCCUGGCUCACGAGGUUGGCUGGAAGUACCAGGCAGUGACAGCCACCCUGGAGGAGAAGAGGAAAGAGAAAGCCAAGAUCCACUACCGGAAGAAGAAACAGUUCAUGAGGCUAUGGAAACAGGCCGAGAAGAACGUGGAGAAGAAAAUUGACAAAUACACAGAAGUCCUCAAGACCCACGGACUCCUGGUCUGAGCCCAAUAAAGACUGUUAAUUCCUCA